CCUACGGGUGGCAGCAGUGAGGAAUAUUGGUCAAUGGGCGGGAGCCUGAACCAGCCAAGUCGCGUGAGGGAAGACGGUCCUCUGGAUUGUAAACCUCUUUAUGCGGGGAGCAAUGCAGGGCAAGCGUGCCCGGAGGGAGAGUACCCGCAGAAUAAGCAUCGGCUAACUACGUGCCAGCCGCCGCGGUAAUACGGAGGAUGCGAUCGUUAUCCGGAGUUAGUGGGUUUAAUGGGUGACUAGGCGGAUUUUUAAGUCAGAGGUAUAAUGUCGGUGCUCAAACCGGGCAGGUCGUUGACACUGGGGAGCUUGAGAGCGCGAGAAGUAUGCGGAAUGUGUGGUGUAGGGGUGAAAUGCAUAGAUAUUACGAAGAACUCCGAUUGCGAAGGCAGCAUACCGGCGCCCGACUGACGCUGAGGCACGAAAGCGUGGGGAGCGAACAGGAUUAGAUACCCUUGUAGUC
rnacentral:rRNA from 1 species